CGGGUGGCUGCAGCAGUGGGGAAUAUUGCACAAUGGACGAAAGUCUGAUGCAGCAACGCCGCGUGGAGGAUGACACAUUUCGGUGCGUAAACUCCUUUUAUAUAGGAAGAUAAUGACGGUACUAUAUGAAUAAGCACCGGCUAACUCCGUGCCAGCAGCCGCGGUAAUACGGAGGGUGCAAGCGUUACUCGGAAUCACUGGGCGUAAAGAGCGUGUAGGCGGGUAGUUAAGUCAGAAGUGAAAUCCAAUAGCUCAACUAUUGAACUGCUUUUGAAACUGAUUACCUAGAAUAUGGGAGAGGUAGAUGGAAUUUCUGGUGUAGGGGUAAAAUCCGUAGAGAUCAGAAGGAAUACCGAUUGCGAAGGCGAUCUACUGGAACAUUAUUGACGCUGAGACGCGAAAGCGUGGGGAGCAAACAGGAUUAGAUACCCGUGUAGUC
rnacentral:rRNA from 1 species